GCUUCUCCGGAUGAGUUGCGAACGGGUGAGUAACGCGUAGGUAACCUGCCUGGUAGCGGGGGAUAACUAUUGGAAACGAUAGCUAAUACCGCAUAAGAGUAGAUGUUGCAUGACAUUUGCUUAAAAGGUGCAAUUGCAUCACUACCAGAUGGACCUGCGUUGUAUUAGCUAGUUGGUGGGGUAACGGCUCACCAAGGCGACGAUACAUAGCCGACCUGAGAGGGUGAUCGGCCACACUGGGACUGAGACACGGCCCAGACUCCUACGGGAGGCAGCAGUAGGGAAUCUUCGGCAAUGGACGGAAGUCUGACCGAGCAACGCCGCGUGAGUGAAGAAGGUUUUCGGAUCGUAAAGCUCUGUUGUAAGAGAAGAACGAGUGUGAGAGUGGAAAGUUCACACUGUGACGGUAUCUUACCAGAAAGGGACGGCUAACUACGUGCCAGCAGCCGCGGUAAUACGUAGGUCCCGAGCGUUGUCCGGAUUUAUUGGGCGUAAAGCGAGCGCAGGCGGUUAGAUAAGUCUGAAGUUAAAGGCUGUGGCUUAACCAUAGUACGCUUUGGAAACUGUUUAACUUGAGCGCAAGAGGGGAGAGUGGAAUUCCAUGUGUAGCGGUGAAAUGCGUAGAUAUAUGGAGGAAC
rnacentral:rRNA from 1 species